CCUACGGGGGGCAGCAGUAGGGAAUUUUCGGCAAUGGGGGAAACCCUGACCGAGCAAUGCCGCGUGCACGAUGAAGAUCUUCGGAUUGUAAAGUGCUGUUGUUAGGGAAGAAAAAACAGAAGAGGAAAUGCUUUUGUCUUGACGGUACCUAACGAGGAAGCCCCGGCUAACUAUGUGCAAGCAGCCGCGGUAAUACAUAGGGGGCAAGCGUUAUCCGGAAUUAUUGGGCGUAAAGCGUGAGUAGGCGGUUUAUUAAGUCUGAUGUGAAAUCUUAAAGCUUAACUUUAAAUGGUCAUUGGAAACUGGUAAACUUGAGUACAGUAGAGGAAAGUGGAAUUCCAAGUGGAGCGGUGGAAUGCGUAGAGAUUUGGAGGAACACCAGUGGCGAAGGCGGCUUUCUGGGCUGGUACUGACGCUGAGGCACGAAAGCGUGGGGAGCAAACAGGAUUAGAUACCCCGGUAGUC
rnacentral:rRNA from 1 species